UACGUAGGUGGCAAGCGUUGUCCGGAUUUACUGGGCGUAAAGAGCGCGCAGGCGGUCGACCAAGUCGCGUGUGAAAGCCCCCGGCUCAACUGGGGAGGGUCACGCGAUACUGAUCGACUCGAAGGCAGGAGAGGGUAGUGGAAUUCCCGGUGUAGUGGUGAAAUGCGUAGAUAUCGGGAGGAACACCAGUGGCGAAGGCGACUACCUGGCCUGUUCUUGACGCUGAGGCGCGAAAG
rnacentral:rRNA from 1 species